UACGGAGGGAGCUAGCGUUGUUCGGAAUUACUGGGCGUAAAGCGCACGUAGGCGGCUUUGUAAGUUAGAGGUGAAAGCCCGGAGCUCAACUCCGGAACUGCCUUUAAGACUGCAUCGCUUGAAUCCGGGAGAGGUGAGUGGAAUUCCGAGUGUAGAGGUGAAAUUCGUAGAUAUUCGGAAGAACACCAGUGGCGAAGGCGGCUCACUGGACCGGUACUGACGCUCAUGUGCGAAAGCGUGGGGAGCAAACAGG
rnacentral:rRNA from 1 species